rnacentral:rRNA from 1 species
CCCUUAGAUGUUCUGGGCGGCCCGCGCACUACAAUGGCGCGUUCAUCGAGAACCAAGGUUGAAUUAUUCGAGGUAUUCUUGCAAAACGCGUCUUGAUUGGGAUAGAUCCUUGUAAUUGUUGGUCUUGAACGAGGAAUUCCUUGUAAGCGUGGUUUAUCAUCCCACGUUGAAUGCGUCCCUGCCCUUUGUACACACCGCCCGUCGCUCCUACCGAUGAAUUGUCCGGUGAAGUUCAUGGAGAGCUGUUUCACUGAGAUGUGCUUAAAGCGAGAUGAACCUAGCGGUUUAGAGGAAGGAGAAGUCGCAACA